AGUGAACGCUGGCGGCAGGCCUAACACAUGCAAGUCGAGCGGACGGACGGGAAUGGCUUCCCUCUAUGGGGGGAGAGGGGCAGGCGGGUGAGGAAUAUAUGUGACUUACCUUUUUGGCGGGGGUUAACGCGGGGAACCUGACCCUAUACCCGCAAAUGACCAACUUGGGAAGGCACGGGAGCUUAGGACGUUUCGCGUGUCAAUUAUCGGUUGAUGGAUUAGCUAGUUGGUGGGGUAAAGGCCCACCAAGGCGACGAUCCGUAGCUGGUCUGAGAGGAUGAUCAGCCACACUGGAACUGAGACACGGUCCAGACUCCUACGGGAGGCAGCAGUGGGGAAUAUUGGACAAUGGGCGAAAGUCUGAUCCAGCAAUGCCGCGUGGGUGAAGAAGGUCUUCGGAUUGUAAAGCCCUUUUGUUAGGGAAGAACAGGAGCAUGUGAAUACCACGGUGUUUUGACGGUACCCAAAGAAUAAGCACCGGCUAACUUCGUG
rnacentral:rRNA from 1 species